rnacentral:tRNA from 1 species
GAGGCGUUAAUAAUACAAUUAUGUUAGUUUGUCAAAGUUAAAUUAUACCCUAAACCCAUUACACCUCU